AAAACAAAGAGUUUGAUCGUGGCUCAGGACGAACGCUGGCGGCGUGCUUAACACAUGCAAGUCGAGCGGAAAGGCCCUUCGGGGUACUCGAGCGGCGAACGGGUGAGUAACACGUGAGUAAUCUGCCCCAGGCUCUGGGAUAGCCACCGGAAACGGUGAUUAAUACCGGAUACGACAACCGAUUGCAUGAUCUGGUUGUGGAAAGUUUUUCGGCCUGGGAUGUGCUCGCGGCCUAUCAGCUUGUUGGUGAGGUAAUGGCUCACCAAGGCUUCGACGGGUAGCCGGCCUGAGAGGGUGACCGGCCACACUGGGGGACUGAGACACGGCCCAGACUCCUACGGGAGGCAGCAGUGGGGAAUAUUGGACAAUGGGCGGAAGCCUGAUCCAGCAACGCCGCGUGAGGGAUGACGGCCUUCGGGUUGUAAACCUCUUUCAGCACAGACGAAGCGCAAGUGACGGUAUGUGCAGAAGAAGGACCGGCCAACUACGUGCCAGCCGCCGCGGUAAU
rnacentral:rRNA from 1 species